rnacentral:rRNA from 1 species
UACGUAGGGUGCAAGCGUUGUCCGGAAUUAUUGGGCGUAAAGAGCUCGUAGGCGGUCUGUUGCGUCGGCUGUGAAAACCCGCGGCUCAACUGCGGGCCUGCAGCCGAUACGGGCAGGCUAGAGUUCGGUAGGGGAGACUGGAAUUCCUGGUGUAGCGGUGAAAUGCGCAGAUAUCAGGAGGAACACCGGUGGCGAAGGCGGGUCUCUGGGCCGAUACUGACGCUGAGGAGCGAAAGCGUGGGGAGCGAACAGG